UCUCCUGACCUCGUGGUUCGCCCGCCU
rnacentral:piRNA from 1 species